AGAUUGAACGCUGGCGGCAGGCCUAACACAUGCAAGUCGAGCGGUAGAGAGGUGCUUGCACCUCUUGAGAGCGGCGGACGGGUGAGUAAAGCCUAGGAAUCUGCCUGGUAGUGGGGGAUAACGCUCGGAAACGGACGCUAAUACCGCAUACGUCCUACGGGAGAAAGCAGGGGACCUUCGGGCCUUGCGCUAUCAGAUGAGCCUAGGUCGGAUUAGCUAGUUGGUGA
rnacentral:rRNA from 1 species